rnacentral:lncRNA from 1 species
UUCGGGCUUGAUGGAGAUGAGUCUUCCCACGCUAGAUCAAUGUUAGAAUUGAAAGAUAACAUACAAAAGAGAUUAUGAGACUUGAGUAUAAAAGUGCAAAUGUCACUAAUCCAUUAAUGUCAUCUGGUAUUGAGGAAUGAAAACGAUGUUGGAUAAAUCACCAUUGAAAUUGUAUGUUUGUACUUGUAGUCCGCAAGAAGUUAUGAACUUUUCCCCAGUAUAAUUGUAAAUCCUCGGCCGAAUUCUUAUAUAUGAUUGAAAAAACUUGAAUAUGUCAUCCAAUUCAUCACAGAUUACCAAUUCAUCCAAUUCAUUCCUUGCAAGGCAAUGAAGGGAUUAUAAAGACACUAAUCUAAACCAAACGCCUGAGUGCUUACCUGCGCUGUAUGAUAAGAGCGCAGCCUGAAUCUGCAAACCUUUCAAACUCCCCGAUGACAACCUGCAUGACCACAGAGAAGUUCGAUUUUUUUUUUUAGGGUCAAACAAUGAUUAUAUAUUAACUUGUUGAUGCUUUUACUUUUGUACUACAAGCUGUAUACCUAACACCGUAUGUACCGAAAAGGCAGAGAAGCUCCCAUUUGCUUUCGCAUUCGGUCAAAUUGGUUCUAUAAAGGGAAUAGUGAGGGUGUGAGACUGUGAGAGUGUGAGGUACUGGAAAUGAGAAAGAAGUCGAUCAUGAUUAAAAUGGUUGAAUUUUGCAACUUUAGGCAAUUUGAAUCACGUCUGAAGUUGAAAUUGGAAGGGAAAUAGGCCAUUAUUUCUUGUUCAAAGCAAUUGCCGGAAUCGGCAUUUUGAGAGUGACAGACUACGAAGCGUAGAGCGAGACACAGUCCCUCUAAACUGGGCAACCAAAUCCUAAAUAUGGCGGAAUUUUGGUAAAGCAUGCAUCUCUUUUUUUGGAGUACAGGCUAUUUUUGUAAGACCAAAGCACUCACAAUAAAUAGAACUCAGUUUAUCUGAA